rnacentral:rRNA from 1 species
CGGCGUGCUUAAUACAUGCAAGUCGAACGCUCUCGACCUUCGGGUCACAUGAGAGAGUGGCGAACGGGUGCGUAACACGUGAGAAACCUGCCCCAAAGACGGGAAUAGCCCGAGGAAACUCGGAUUAAUACCCGAUACCUCCACAAUGUCGCAUGGCAUUGUGAAGAAAGUUCAGGCGCUUUGGGAGGGUCUCGCGGCCUAUCAGCUUGUUGGUGAGGUAACGGCUCACCAAGGCAUCGACGGGUAGCUGGUCUGAGAGGACGAUCAGCCACACUGGGACUGAGACACGGCCCAGACUCCUACGGGAGGCAGCAGUAGGGAAUCUUGCGCAAUGGGCGAAAGCCUGACGCAGCAACGCCGCGUGGGGGAUGAAUGCCUUCGGGUUGUAAACCCCUUUCAGCAGGGACGAAAAUGACGGUACCUGCAGAAGAAGCUCCGG